CUGCUUUCAAACCCAACUGCUCAAUCCCAUUCAUCCUCGAGAGGGAACAAAAAAGUGGCUAUUUAUUAGAAUACUUGUUUUGUAUUGUUCCGCGUCACACAAAAGGGGCUUUAUUAUUGUGUAGUGAGUGGUGGGACUGGGAGCUGGGUAUGGCUGGCCUUGGCACACUAAGUGUAGAUUUUAGCAAGGAUGGCGAACUGGCGAGUGGCUAUGGCUGGGUUAGGACAAGCGAUAGAGAACGGGACGAUUGUGAGAGACUCUGCUGGAAUUUGGCAGGCCCGAUGCUUGGAGAGGCGCCCCACGCUGUGACUCCCAUUCAGCGGUCCAGCGCGCUGUGAGGUUGGAAAGUUUCACUGAGCCGUGCACUCAAUGGCUCCACAAAGCUGAUUACAAGCCCCAGCGAAUUCCUGAAGGGACCGGGCAGCCACGCAGGUGUGCGGGAAACCGGGGCAACCCUUCAGAUUUUAUUGACAGCACAAGGCAGCCGGGGAGACCACACAAAAUGCAAAAGCAUCCCGGGAAGCGGUCAGCGAUUUGGUGGGAAAAUAGCACCUUUAAGGCCUUUCAGAUGCGCGAAAAAUUAUGGAGAAACGUUCAGAUGGUCUAUUAAAACGAAGCCCAAUCUCAUCAGGACUCUAAAGUAAAAUGUCAAAGACUAGGCUAUAUAGCAACAGGGUGUUAAUUCUUGCCAUAUGCAUUCUGAUUUUUCCCAUCAUCUAGUGUCUCAUGUUUACGACGCAAGAUUGGGGUUCAGGGUUAACGACGAUUCAUAAAACGUGAUGGCUCGCUCUCCCUCACUGUGCGCAAUUCAUUCUCCUUGGUGCGAAAAAUCUACAUCAAUGAAGCAGACAGCGUAUUUAAUUAGAGCGGAGUCUAACUAUCAAUUACUCAGGAAAAACACAGGAUCCCUAAGGACCGGUAAUCAGCGCGCCAACAGUCGGCCGAGCGCUCAUUACAGCAAAGCGACAGGCGGGAAUAAUAAUCAGGGCGCGGCGACGCAUCUGCCUAUUUCCACCGCUUCCUGUUGCCUCUGAAGUUUAAUAACUCGUUAUUUUUACUCAGUAUUGCCACUAGUUGCUCUUUGUGUCCAGCAUUACAUUUUUCAAUUAGAUUUUUACUGAGAAAGGUCUACUGUAGCCUAUUUUGAGUGUCCGAAUACCAUUCAAGCAUAUGCUACAGUGUUUUCCUCCAACAUUUAGGUGCAAUUUAAAUGAGGGCUCAGUCCUACUUUACGCGGCUAAUUUAAUCCUCCGCAGAGUCAACAAGGGCUAAUUGAGAUCAGCGGGGCGCAAACACCCUUUCAAAAUCAAUUUCUCCCCGUGCCCCCGAUUGUCCCUCCCCAAGUCGUGGUUGGCCUUUGGGACUAAGAAGUAACCAUAUUGUUGUAGAUCAGAACUAUUUUGGCUUUGACUCCUGAAUUAUACUAAUGGCAGAGGUCUUGAAACGUGUUUCAGUUCCCAUGCUUUGCCUAAUAAAUAUGCUAUAAAUCUAUUCCUGUCUUGGCCUCACCUGUGUCCUGUCACCCCUGCUGUCCUCGUGUGAUUAGGGGACAAAAGCACUUACCCGGGCCGGCUAUGGUAGUCAAUCAAGCACAACGGACUAUGCUAAUUGAGGGGAAAGGCGAAAGGAAGACGAACAGUGAUCCCAAUUGUUCGGCGAAUUUCACAGCUCAGCACAGCUGCAAUGCUACUGUUCCUCUAAUACACUCUCCCUUUAAGUGUAACACACAGCGCUACUGUAAGCCAAAGUCUAUGUGAACAGAAAAUGAGUUUGAAAUCCUCACAGUUUUCCCACAGAAGUUGAUAUUUUAGAACUGUGGCUUAAACUGUCGCAUAGUUGCCCAGAUACACUGUACGACACUGUACCUCCAAGUUUUUGAGGAGCUGUCCAGGUGCUGAAAUGAACGCGCAACGUACGUGGACUCUGAGGGACAAUAAAGUCUUUAAAAACUUUUAUUUUUUUUCUUUCUCUUGGUUUCUUUAAUCUUAUUUUCACGGGCGCAAAUUGAAUGAGUGUUGUCAAGAUAAAUGAUCGAAUUCAAAAAUUGAAUAAUUCAAUAAUAAUUAAAUAUUUACAACAAGCGUGUGUCUAUUACAGGCUCAAGCUCAAAGGUUAUGGGUUCAACUCCCAGAAAAUUUACAUUCACAAAAAAAUAAUGCAUGGCAUUAUUGCACUGUAAGUAAGCUUUGGAUAAAAAUGUCUGCCAAUGCUAAUGCUUUGUAAUGAUUUGUACACAAAUUGUAUCCUAUUGUGACAGUGUGUGUACAGUUAUGUUAGCAAGAAUGUAUCAAUUAAUUUAUGCAUAUUUUAAGAAGUUAAUUUCAUUAUUUAUUUUCAUUCUUAGCCAUCCAUUAAUUUUUAUUGCUUGGCUGUUUCUUUUUUAUCAGAGAAAAACAACAACAACAACAACAACUUACAGCACAUAUACAAAAAGAAUGACAACUUUAACUGUAAAUUACUUUUUCCUCGCAUCUAGUUUGACCCAUCUCACAAGGUGCCCUUGUUCUCAGCAGGGGUCAGAAAAUAGGCCUGAGAAUUGUUUGUGUUUUACCGCUGCUGGAGUCCCAUUGUGCUUGUGUAUUUUGUGAUGGGAUAAACUUUGACUGUGUCUGAUUGUGUUGAUUUUACAUUUGAAAAAGGGAGAGAUAGAGAGACAGAAAAACAACAAUAAAAGAA